AGCAGCCGCGGUAAUUCCAGCUCCAAUAGCGUAUAUUAAAGUUGUUGCAGUUAAAAAGCUCGUAGUUGAACUUCGGGAUCAAUUGAUAUGGUCAUGCCUUGGUAUGUACUGUUCAUAUUGGUUCUCACCUUCUAAUGAACCAUAAUGUCAUUUAUUUGAUGUUAUGGGGAAUUAGGACUGUUACCUUGAAAAAAUUAGAGUGUUUAAAGCAGGCUCACGCUUGAAUACAUUAGCAUGGAAUAAUGAAAUAGGACAUCGCAUUCUAUUUUGUUGGUUUCUAGGAUCGAUGUAAUGAUUAAUAGGGAUAGUUGGGGGCAUUAGUAUUCAAUUGUCAGAGGUGAAAUUCUUGGAUUUAUUGAAGACUAACUACUGCGAAAGCAUUUGCCAAGGAUGUUUUCAUUAAUCAAGAACGAAAGUUAGGGGAUCGAAGACGAUCAGAUACCGUCGUAGUCUUAACCAUAAACUAUGCCGACUAGGGAUCGGAUGAUGUUGAUUUUUUAAUGUA
rnacentral:sRNA from 1 species